rnacentral:lncRNA from 8 species
UUAUUUACACUAAUUUCCCCUCUCUCUUAUUACCUGUCUUCCCCUCUCUCUUAUUACCUGUCUUCCCCUCUCUCUUAUUACCUGUCUUCCCCUCUCUUAUUACCUGUCUUCCCCUCUCUUAUUACCUGUCUUCCCCUCUCUUAUUACCUGUCUUCCCCUCUCUCUUAUUACCUGUCUUCCCCUCUCUCUUAUUACCUGUCUUCCCCUCUCUCUUAUUACCUGUCUUCCCCUCUCUUAUUACCUGUCUUCCCCUCUCUCUUAUUACCUGUCUCCCCCUCUCUCUUAUUACCUGUCUUCCCCUCUCUCUUAUUACCUGUCUCCCCCUCUCUCUUAUUACCUGUCUCCCCCUCUCUCUUAUUACCUGUCUCCCCCUCUCUCUUAUUACCUGUCUCCCUCUCUCUCUUAUUACCUGUCUCCCCCCCUCUCUUAUUACCUGUCUUCCCCUUUCUCUUAUUACCUAUCUUCCCCUCUCUCUCUUAUUACCUGUCUUCCCCUCUCUCUUAUUACCUGUCUUCCCCUCUCUCUCUUAUUACCUGUCUUCCCCUCUCUCUCUUAUUACCUGUCUUCCCCUCUCUCUCUUAUUACCUGUCUUCCCCUCUCUCUCUUAUUACCUGUCUUCCCCUCUCUCUUAUUACCUGUCUUCCCCUCUCUCUCUUAUUACCUGUCUUCCCCUCUCUCUUAUUACCUGUCUUCCCCGGUGUCUUAUUACCUGUCUCCCCUUCUCUCUUAUUACCUGUCUUCCCCUCUCUCUCUUAUUACCUGUCUUCCCCUCUCUCUUAUUACCUGUCUCCCCUCUCUCUUAUUACCUUUCUUCCCCUCUCUCUUAUUACCUGUCUUCCCCUCUCUCUCUUAAUACCUGUCUUCCCCUCUGUCUUAUUACCUGUCUUCCCCUCUGUCUUAUUACCUGUCUCCCCCUCUGUCUUAUUACCUGUCUCCCCCGCUCUCUUAUUACCAGUCUUCCCCUCUCUCGUAUUACCUGUCUUCCCCUCUCUCUUAUUACCUGUCUUCCCCUCUCUCUUAUUACCUGUCUUCCCCUCUCUCUUAUUACCUGUCUUCCCCGCUCUCUUUUACCAUCUCUUUUCCUUUCUUUCGUGUCCAGAACUCUGUGGUGGCCUGUGGGCAGGGGGUGCUGUCUGGAGGACUUUUGAACGGAACGCUGUCCCAGGGGGCAGAGGGGCAGGGACAGCAGCUGGCUGA